rnacentral:misc_RNA from 1 species
GAUGAAGAACGCAGCGAAAUGCGAUAAGUAAUGUGAAUUGCAGAAUUCAGUGAAUCAUCGAAUCUUUGAACGCACAUUGCGCCCCUUGGUAUUCCGAGGGGCAUGCCUGUUCGAGCGUCAUUACACCACUCAAGCUAUGCUUGGUAUUGGGCGUCGUCCUUAGUUGGGCGCGCCUUAAAGACCUCGGCGAGGCCACUCCGGCUUUAGGCGUAGUAGAAUUUAUUCGAACGUCUGUCAAAGGAGAGGAACUCUGCCGACUGAAACCUUUAUUUUUCUGGGUUGACCUCGGAUCAGGUAGGGAUACCCGCUGAACUUAAGCAUAUCAAUAAGCGGAGGA